CACACCUCAGACCUCAGACAUGCCCAUCGCGGAAGCGAUGAUAGCGAACAGCUAUGAUAGACAUAGCAACUUGUGCUGGGAUUACACCAUUCAACAGCUUGCAAGGCUGAUGAAUUGACCGCCACUAUUUUUAGCCUGGUAUCCACCACACAGCUGUUUGAAGUGACUUUUUCUGGUCAGUGAAUCCCUAUUUUUCGUUUUUCCAUUUUUUUCCUACACACACACCACACCACAUACUCCGACAUACACUGGCUGUUGGUAACCACCCAGGAUAAUGAAAGAAAAGCCAGGAAGAGUCCGAGAAAGAGAAGAAAGACGUGUGCGACCAUAAUCGUCGGGAAUUGAACCCGCAACCUCUCGAUUGGAAAUCGACUGCACAUACCACUGCACCAUAUGGGACACACACACACACACACACACACACACACACACACACACACACACACACACACAAUAAUUGAUAUUAUUGGUGCACGUACAUGGCAGAGUUGAGAAUUAGUGGACUAUUUAAAGGUGUGCUUGCCUAUGUGAAAGCUUUACUUAAUGUAUGUGUACUGGUCAUUGUGAACUGCCCUCAGCUUCCUAUACACUAGCAGUGUCUGCCCCUGUUCCAUUUUCUAUGCAGACUUUAAUGACGGAGGGACACUUCACGGUGACACGCCUGCAGUAGGUGCAAAUGGUGCACAUGGCUGUCAUCUGGGUUUCCUAGUCAUUUUUUCCGUUUUCUUGUUUUUCGCUGGCUGGAUGUGCAUUGGAGCGAGUUUUGCCAUUGAGAUAACUGGGCUCCUGAUAGCAGGUUGCAUACUACUCGCUAUAUCUCUUAUGCUGUGUACUAUUGGCUGCGUGGCGCGACAGAAACUCAAGGGCAGGUCCAAUACAGUUGUGACUACUGCGGCUAGAGCAGAGGCGAAUGCAUCUGGGACCGCACCAGUGACCCAGGCCAUACCAUCUGCGAGCGUUCCACUCGACCGGCAAUACCCAGCACCACCUCAGGCAGCAGCCGCUAAUCCCGCCUAUCCUCCAGCGGGCCCUGCAGGCAUAGGGUAUCCAGUCGCAAGUGCUGCGGGCCCUGCCACCGCGUCCGCACCAGCAGCAUACCCUCCAGCUGCCGCUAUUCCCAACUAUGCCUCCGAGCCUACUGCUUCAUCGGGCCCGCCAUCAGCUGCCUAUCCGCCAUACCUAGCCCAGACCCCGGCACACCCAGCCCAGAACCCGGCAUACCCAGUGGAUCAGUCAGCUGCUGCCGAUGUCAGCAAGGACCUACCUAGCUACAAUGCACUGAUGAGCAAUAAUUGAAAAUAAAAUGCUCUGAACAAUUGUGGCAUACAGUCCAACAUCCGCCUUCCCAUGGAAACACUUGUCACUAUAAUGAGGAUUCAAGGACUUUGGAGACUUGUGAUCACCUUACAUUAUGCAUGCCUUCAGUAAUGUAAUGUAAUGUUUUUCUUGACAGGGAGAAUAACAGAUACUUGUUCAGUAUUCAGUGGUAUGGUACUCUCAACAUUUAUAUUUCUAUUUUUAUGAAAGUGCACAUGCCUACAUAGAAUGGAAGAGAAAAACAACAACAACAACA